UAAACAAGCUCACCUAUCAGCUCCUGUCCGUCGGAAACUGCUAGGUUAAAUUAAAGACGAGGCUAAACAUGUAGAACCUUAAGCAGAGGAUUUGCGGACGCGGGUUCGAUUCCCGCCGGCUCCACCA
rnacentral:tmRNA from 1 species